GAUGAACGCUGACAGAAUGCUUAACACAUGCAAGUCGAUUCGAUUUACCUUCGGGUAUUGAGGAUGGCGGACGGGUGAGUAACGCGUAAGGAACUUGCCUCUUGGUCUGGGACAACUGUUGGAAACGACAGCUAAUACCGGAUAUUAUGAGAUUCUCGCAUGGGAAACUUAUGAAAGCUAUAUGCGCCAAGAGAGAGCCUUGCGUUCCAUUAGCUAGUUGGUGGGGUAACGGCCCACCAAGGCGACGAUGGAUAGCCGGCCUGAGAGGGUGAACAGCCACAAGGGGACUGAGACACGGCCCUUACUCCUACGGGAGGCAGCAGUGGGGAAUAUUGGACAAUGGGCCACAAGCCUGAUCCAGCAAUUCUGUGUGCACGAUGAAGGUCUUCGGAUUGUAAAGUGCUUUCAGUUGGGAAGAAGAAAGUGACGGUACCAACAGAAGAAGCGACGGCUAAAUACGUGCCAGCAGCCGCGGUAAUACGUAUGUCGCAAGCGUUAUCCGGAUUUAUUGGGCGUAAAGCGCGUCUAGGCGGAAAAAUAAGUCUGAUGUUAAAAUGCGGGGCUCAACUCCGUAUUGCGUUGGAAACUGUUUUUCUAGAGUACUGGAGAGGUGGNNGGAACUACAAGUGUAGAGGUGAAAUUCGUAGAUAUUUGUAGGAAUGCCGAUGGAGAAGUCAGCUCACUGGACAGAUACUGACGCUAAAGGGCGAAAGCGUGGGGAGCAAACAGGAUUAGAUACCCUGGUAGUCCACGCCGUAAACNAUGAUCACUAGG
rnacentral:rRNA from 1 species